rnacentral:misc_RNA from 1 species
UGGCUCCAGCAUCGAUGAAGAACGCAGCGAAAUGCGAUACGUAGUGUGAAUUGCAGAAUUCCGUGAAUCAUCGAAUCUUUGAACGCACAUUGCGCCUGCUGGUAUUCCGGUAGGCAUGCCUGUCCGAGCGUCAUAACCUUCCAUUCGAGUGGCUUGAAAGCCCUCGGUCUUGGGCCUCCCAAAAUUUAGCUCAGCUAGAUUUGGGGGUCUAAAAGUUUCUUUGCGUAGUAACUUACGCCUAGCCUUCGAGCGUUGCAUACUUCGCGCUCGGGGACGGCGUCGGCACUUCUACUUUUAACUUACUCUCUUGACCUCGGAUCAGGUAGGAAGACCCGCUGA